GCCGCGUGUGUGAAGAAGGCCUUCGGGUUGUAAAGCACUUUCAGUCGUGAGGAAGGUGGUGUAGUUAAUAGCUGCAUUAUUUGACGUUAGCGACAGAAGAAGCACCGGCUAACUCCGUGCCAGCAGCCGCGGUAAUACGGAGGGUGCGAGCGUUAAUCGGAAUUACUGGGCGUAAAGCGCAUGCAGGUGGUUUGUUAAGUCAGAUGUGAAAGCCCGGGGCUCAACCUCGGAAUAGCAUUUGAAACUGGCAGACUAGAGUACUGUAGAGGGGGGUAGAAUUUCAGGUGUAGCGGUGAAAUGCGUAGAGAUCUGAAGGAAUACCGGUGGCGAAGGCGGCCCCCUGGACAGAUACUGACACUCAGAUGCGAAAGCGUGGGGAGCAAACAGGAUUAGAUACCCUGGUAGUCCACGCCGUAAACGAUGUCUACUUGGAGGUUGUGGCCUUGAGCCGUGGCUUUCGGAGCUAACGCGUUAAGUAGACCGCCUGGGGAGUACGGUCGCAAGAUUAAAACUCAAAUGAAUUGACGGGGGCCCGCACAAGCGGUGGAGCAUGUGGUUUAAUUCGAUGCAACGCGAAGAACCUUACCUACUCUUGACAUCCAGAGAACUUUCCAGAGAUGGAUUGGUGCCUUCGGGAACUCUGAGACAGGUGCUGCAUGGCUGUCGUCAGCUCGUGUUGUGAAAUGUUGGGUUAAGUCCCGCAACGAGCGCAACCCUUAUCCUUGUUUGCCAGCGAGUAAUGUCGGGAACUCCAGGGAGACUGCCGGUGAUAAACCGGAGGAAGGUGGGGACGACGUCAAGUCAUCAUGGCCCUUACGAGUAGGGCUACACACGUGCUACAAUGGCGCAUACAGAGGGCGGCCAACUUGCGAGAGUGAGCGAAUCCCAAAAAGUGCGUCGUAGUCCGGAUUGGAGUCUGCAACUCGACUCCAUGAAGUCGGAAUCGCUAGUAAUCGUGGAUCAGAAUGCCACGGUGAAUACGUUCCCGGGCCUUGUACANACCGCCCGUCACACCAUGGAUGGGCUGCAAAAGAAGUAGGUAGUUUAACCUUCGGGGGGACGCUUACCACUUUGUGGUUCAUGACUGGGG
rnacentral:rRNA from 1 species